CUUUCCCUUCACACCAACGGAGAUGGAGAUUUUCUCCGUUGAAAUGAAAACGUGUUAGCUGCUUGCUGGGCGCUUCUGUGACAUUAUUUUUAUUUUCAAAUUUUCAUUUUUCCGUUUUGUACGUUGCCAAGAUAGGAAAAACAGCUUCUUGACGCUGAAAGACUCAUUUUGUGAAUCUCCGGAAAUUAAACCCAGCCUGUCCAGCUGUCCAUCGUCUGUCCUUCAUCAAAAAGAGGAACACAACGCAGAGCCGAGGCGAAGCCGGUAACAUAAAGGUUCACACCAUUGGAAAAGGAGAAAAAGGUCUGGCCAAGAAACUGGACUGUGGAAGUAGAACCGUCUAUAUUGAAUGGCAGCAUCCACACCUGAUGCAAAACCAGAUUUGUUGGAGGCAAAAUGGAAAUCACUGGUGAACUGCCUCCAUACUUCACCUGAAGGAAAGGACUACAACAAACUGACUGAUUCCAGGCUGCAACCCUCAACUACUGAGCAGUGCCGGAUCUGCCAUGGAUCUGCUGACUUUAAGGAGGAGGAUGUCUGCGCCGAGAUCAUCAGUGUUUGCCAGGAGGUGACACCAGAGGAGAAGCUUCCUGAUGCUGUUGAUGUCGUACAUUGGGUUGGGAAAAGUUUCCAGGAUAAGGCCUCUUGGCUUCCUUCUGAGGUUAGUUUCCAGGAGGUUAAGAAAGACAAUCUAGAAAUAAUUGUGCCUUUCUUGCCAAAAGACUUGCAAAAAGAAUCCAGGGAUGAUAGAAACUGUGGCCUUUAAGAAAGAAAGCAAGAGAAGAAGAAAAGUUAUCUCACUCUGUUGAUGGUAGAGGGUUUAGUAGUAGCUCUGAAAUUCAUCCAGAAUUAUUUUACUGCAACAUAGGAAGUGGAGGUAAAAACUAAAUCCUUAAGGAAAUGUUAAAAUGACAGUGUUGUGUAGAGUUGUCAUUCAUGAGUGUUUAGUUCAAAUGAACAAAUCAUUUGUGUGAACAAACUGAGCGAAUCGCCAGUGGUGGGCCCAGCCGUGCUAAGAGGCAAACAUAAUGGCAGAGCUAGCUUUUCAUCCAUUGCAUU